GUGACUUGCCUUCUGCAAGAGAGAAAACUCUCCAGCCUAGCAUUUCUCACAGGGCCACUAGGAAGAGACACUGAUAGAGAGGGAGGGAGACAGACAUUGUUUCUCCCUCUCCUCUGUACUGCUGCAGCCUAGCAGAGCUGGAGGGGUGGGGGAGGGGUUUGGUCUCUGCAGGCAGUAGUAGGAGAUGCAGCAGGAGGAGGAGCUGCUACCAGCCUUCCUGCAUGAGUAAGAGAGGAGACCGAGCCAGCUUCACUGAAGAAAGCACCGCCUCCGCUGAGCAGCACUGAAGAUCCAGGGAAGAAUCUCCUGAGGGUCUUGUUCUUCUACCUGGUUUUCCAGUCUGGUUAAAUUGCAUUGUUCCAAUGAAGAUAUAAAGCAGAGUGACCGUACCUUGCAACGGAGACAAACAAUGGAUACAUGAAGACUACGUAAUUAUUGGAUUUUCGGUUUCAUCUUCCGAUCUCUCGCCGCAGCGCCCAUAUGACCAGCUGAACAGUGUACAAUACCAGUGAAAGCUAUUACAUUUCAAGGCUGUUUGAAAAGGUUCUAUAGACAGAAACAGCAACAGUCUUACCAGAGGUUCAGUCAAGAACAGCAGAAGAAAGGAAAUAGAUUAUAAAAGAAUUCUCCAGGUAAAGCCCCGUUCUACUAAUGUCCACCUUCUGACAGACACUGGCGAAAUGAAAAAUCUAAAAAUAUAUUUCAAUGAUCUUGUCCAAAGGUCUCUGAAAAAUGGUGUAAAAAUCUCAGAUUGAUCAUCGUUCUGUAUUAUAUCUAAACUCUCAUUUAUUCUACAGGUACAGAGAAAAUUUUACAUCUUUAUUCAAAGAGAAGGACUAUGAAUAGAGGAGCCCAGUAUACACUAUACACUGCUAUAAAAUGAGAGUAUAAUAGAGGUAGGGCUGGGCGGUAUACUGGUUCAUACCGAAUACCGACAUUUUUGUGCUGCACGAUAUGAAUUUUAACCCAUACCACAAUACCGGUU